rnacentral:rRNA from 1 species
UUGAACGUUCGGGUUCCGCGGGACGGGGCGCCCCGCGGAGGGACGGGCGCCGCCCCGGGGCUCGUGAUAUCUUAUCUCGCCGCCCGUCGCGAGGCGGACGGAGGGAUGGAUGAGGUUACCUGGAAAAAAUCGGGGGCGAUCUAGGCGGGGCGAACCUCGCCAACGAACGAUCGGACAUGGGAUAACGGAAGAGGGCGUCGGCUCGACUUCGUCGGUUCCUCGGGCCGAGGCACGUACGGUGAAUAGGGACGGUCGGGGCCGCCCGUACCGGGUCGUGAGAGGUGAAAUUCUAGGAUCGACCGAGACGAACUGCCGCGAAAGCAUUCGGCAAGGACGCUUUCAUUAAUCAAGAACGAAAGUCGGGGGGAUCGAAGACGAUCAGAUACCGUCGUAGUCCCGACCGUAAACGAUGCC